AUCCAUUUCUGUAUAUCUUGUCGAAUAUGACAGGAAAGCAUACCAAUAAAUCUUUUCUCCUCCAUUUAUCACAGGUUUUGACAAUAAGAAUGUGAGCAAAGACAGAGACACAGAGUUUAAGGAGAUGUUGCUGCUGCCCUAAACUUAUGUCACAGAAACACUCCCAUCUUGAAAUCACAGGUGCACUGUUGAUCAGGAACUGCAGUGGCUGAUGAUAUAAUCCUUGUAGGACAGAACGGAGAUUUGAAGUUUCUUUCUUCAUUUCCGGUGGCUUGCUGAUCAAGCUAGCAGGAAGUUACAGGCAAGUCAUGAUUAUAUUCAACUCAUCACAUCAAGGAACUCCAUUGUUCAAAUCCCACUGCCAUUUUGGCUUGUUGACAAUGUAACAAAUUUUCAGUAAAAUAAUUUGUG
rnacentral:lncRNA from 1 species